UCCAUGAGCGCGUUAGGGUUCUCUGUUACAAAUUGCCUGUAAGGCUGCAAUUUAUUAAAAAUAUUUCCCUAAUCGUCUAUCUAUCACAAAUGAUAACGCACCCAUAAAUAUAGUACAAAGUUAUCAUAGACGACAAAGCAUAGUUCUCCCACUCCUCGUAAAAAAGAAUCUUCAGCCGCAGCUGAAAAGCUCGACUAGCGGAUUGGAUUAAAAACCCAAUAUAUCAUCCUCCUUUGUACCUAUCCUACCGAUACCGCGUCCUCUCUAAAGCGAUUACGGACUAUAGAAAAAUCGUUCGCGAGACUCGAAAGAGCCUCUCCCGUCUCUAUCCGUUUCUUCGACGAAACGCUGAAUACCGAUAACGGUUUUUUCGUUUCGCGUCCGUCCGUUCAUCCAGCUGGCAAGAUGAGGUUGCAAUCGAUGAGGCUACGUCGAGAGAUGGAAACUGAGAAGACCUGCAGAAGAGAGGAAACCUCGCGGAACCGCGGCUCAGACCCUCGACGGCGCAGCUAGGGCAACCCCCCGGUACACCUAACGGACUUCCUUCGCACUGACGGUCAUCGUAUAUUCGCGCCUUUUGAACGAGGGUCCCCGCAAAUUGUGCAACCGACUCCGUGUACAAGAACAACAUUUUAGACUCGUAUGUCCGGCACUGAAAGUGUUAACGCACGUUCCUCUUUCUGGUGCGAGGUAUCGAGAAGAGUUCACCAGUGCACGAGUACCGUUUCAUUGGACAGUAAACGACGAAAUCGUGAACUAAGACGUACGACGGAAUUACGCUCGUUACUGUUGGCGACGUCCAGCGAUCGUCAGAAAAAGAAUACGCGACACGCAAUAGCACCGGAAAAUAAAGCACGAUACGAUGAUGACCGAGAAACCAAGUGACCCGAUGAUACACGAACGGGCAGAGUUAACGGCGUUUGUCCCGAUCGCGUACGUUUUCUGCUACUCUUGGGAGAAUUCCUGUUUGCGAGCACAUCCUCCGCGACGACGAACGGUUUUCGAGACGAGCCACGACGCGAUAUCUGGCCUGCGAUCGCAGAUACGACGAAAUAAACACGCCUUGACGUAUUACCGACCGAGAGGGCUAUCGACUGCGGGACGAUUUUUGCUGGUGUGAAUUUAAAAAAAAUACCUCCUUAUAGGGGAUGAAAAGACGAAACUUUUCUGUAUUUACAGUUUGUUCAUAGGACGUUUAGUUUUCACAAUAAAAAUUCAAAACUUAGAAGACCUUUUGCUCCUGAAUCCUAUUACAUUUGCAAUGGUGAAACUGAAAGUAUCAUUAGUUGACAAUUACUUAUUUGACGGAUUAGAAAAAAAUACCACCUUAUAAGGAAUGUUAAGACGAAACUUUUUUGUAUUUACAAUUUCUUUAUAGGACGUUUAGUUUGUGAGAUAAAAAUUCAAAACUUGGAAGAUCUUUUUUCUCUGAAUUCCAUUAUAUUUUCAGUGAAUGCAUUGUUAGUUGACAAUUACUUAUUUGAGAAAAAUACCACAUUAUAGGGAAUGUUAAGACGAAACUUUUCUGUAUUUACAGUUUGUUUAUAGGACAUUUAGUUUCAGAGAUAAAAAUUCAAGACUUGGAAGAUCUUUUUUCUCUGAAUUCAAUUACACUUGCAAUAGUAAAAAUGAAAUCAUCGUUAAUUUUCAAAUACUUAUUUUGAUGAAUUUGAGAAAAAUAUCACGUUAUAGAGGAUGAUAAAAAGAAACUUUUUUCUAUUUACAGUUUAUUCAUAGGAUGUUUAGUUUCGAAAAUAAAAAUUGAAAGGUUAUAAGAUGUUGUUUCUGUCCUUGUUGUCUUAAAGAAAAAAAAAACAA